rnacentral:rRNA from 1 species
UACGAAGGGGGCUAGCGUUGCUCGGAAUCAUUGGGCGUAAAGCGCACGUAGGCGGCUUUCUAAGUCAGGGGUGAAAUCCUGGAGCUCAACUCCAGAACUGCCUUUGAUACUGGAGAGCUUGAGUCCGGGAGAGGUGAGUGGAACUCCGAGUGUAGAGGUGAAAUUCGUAGAUAUUCGGAAGAACACCAGUGGCGAAGGCGGCUCACUGGCCCGGUACUGACGCUGAGGUGCGAAAGCGUGGGGAGCAAACAGG